GGUUUGGGCCGACAGUUGUCGUAUAACUACCUGCUGGGCGCGCGGGCAACUCGGCUCCGGCCACUGCGCACGCUCCCCAGGUGGGCCGGCUGCGGACGCUGGAAGGGAGGUGGCGACUGACGGAGCUGGGUGAAGGUGGUUUCACUCCCUGGAGGCACUGCUCUAUGAGAUAGAGCUACAGAAUGAAAUUUGUACUACGAAAUCGUCUGCUUCAGCCCCUGGUGAUUGGAUCCAAGGCAGCAGUCUGUCAACAACUGUGGCAUCCAGCUGGUCAGAAAGACUUGAGGAUUUGACAUUUUGUGGCUGUUCUCUAGAACCAAAGAAAUGAGAACCUCUUGGUAAAAUCUGCUGGUCCAGGAGUUCUUAUCUCCUGGAUUAUCUGCCAAACAAAUUAUCUGCCAAAAUUACAAUGUAAAACUGAAGAAAACAAUCGAUAACUUGGUUAAAAUUUUGGAAAAAUACAAAGAAACUGUGACUGGGGAGAAAUGGUGAGGGAAAUUUUCUCAUUGAAAUAGAAGAUCAGGAGGGCUAAAGGGAGCCCUCGUGCCAUCAGCCAAAAUCUCUGUUAAAUUCCAAACAUAAAAUACGUUUUCUCACUGUUAAAAGAUCUAAGCAGUCUCCGCUAGCAGCCCCCGUCCUGGACAUGGGAGCACUGCCCUGGCUGGCCAUCAGGUGCUCCCAUAAGCAUUGUUCAGACAGCGAGGGGGGCAGUUGAGGAUUCGGGGGCAGGAGAUGGGGUGGUGGAGAGAAGGAUGUAACCAUUUAAAGUCCAUUUUCCCUGCUGAAGCUACCCAUGGAACUUUUAAAUUGGGUGCAGAUUUAAAAAUUAAUACAAAAUAUUUGAAUAAUCAGGGAUGUAUCAAAUGUCCAUAAAGUACAGCUCCAACUAGGAAUGCCCAAGGAAUUGUUCCUUCCAUUUAAUUGUCCUCUGUGUCUAUCAAAAAGACAGCCACUCGCAUGCCUCUUCCAAACAGUCAAAUACCAUCCUGAGCUCUCAUGGAAAAUCUCAAGAGGCUUAUUGGUUUACUAAUUCUAAACCUGUGUUUGCUCAAAGGAUAGUGUCAACUACAAUUUUUCAUUUGCUUUGGUAUUCCAUUUAUUUUUCUUUACAGCUUUGGGAGAUGUGUAUUAUACUUCUAUUCUUUUAAUGACUAUCUUGGAAAUUGUUUGUAUAUACUUAACAGUCUACAGUUAAGGACUAUUUACCAUCCUUCUGAAUAACACAAAGAUUUUAGGACAGUGGUCCCCAGCCUUUUUGGCACCAGGGACCAGUUUUUCCAUGGACCAGGGUGCAGGGGGAUGGUUUCAGGAUGAUUCCAGCACAUUACACUUAUUGGACACUCUAUUUCUAUUAUUAUUACACUGUAAUAUAUAAUGAAAUAAUUAUACAACUCGCCAUCAUAUAGAAUCAGUGGGUGUCCUGAGCUUGUUUUCCUGCAACUGGAUAGUCCUAUCUGGGGGUGAUGGGAGACAGUGACAGAUCAUCAGGCAUUAGAUUCUCAUAAGGAGCGUGUAACCUAGAUCCCUCGCAUGCACAGUUCACAGUAGGGUUCACACUCCUAUGAGAAUCUAAUGCCACCGCUGAUCUGAUGGGAGGUGGAGCUCAGGUGGUAAUGUGAGCAGUGGGGAGUGGCUGUAAAUACAGAUGAAGUUUCACUCAUUUGCCCGCCCGCAGCUCCUAACUCCGGCUGUGCAGCCCAGUUCCUAACAUAUCCGUUGGUGGCCCAGGGGUUGGAGACCUUGUCUUAGAAUGGUUUACCUCCAUUGAUCACUGCUUCUAGCUUGUGUGCUACUGGGAUACAAUAUUUUGAAUCAAUCUCUAUUUUUAACCUCACAGAUUGUGUAAUUAUCAGUAUCUGCUUGAUAUGUAUUUAGAUUAGUCACAUGUUUACCAUUUUGUUUAGUUGCCAAACUUCCUUGCAUUUCACACUUUCUGUCUGGGAGUGUCUCAUUCUUCCUGAAGUACAUCAUUUAAAUGUGCCUUUAAGUUUGGUGGCAAGCAGUCUCAACUUCUGUUUAUCUCAAAGUGCCUUUAUUCUACUUCAUUUUUGGUAGUUUCACUGGAUUUGUGAUUUUUAAAUCUAUAAUUAUUUUCUAGCACAUUGAAGAUAUUUCACUUUCUUCCAUGUUCCAUUGUUAUUAAAAAGACUCCUGUCAGCCUUAUUGACAUUCUUUUGUAGAUAAUCUGUUUUUUUACUAUUUCAUCUAUGUAUGAAUUUAGUCUAUUUAUGAAUUUCAUCUAUGUAUUUCAUCAUGUAUGAAUUUAAUUUAUUUCUCUUGCUUGAUAUAUUAUAGUGCUUCCUGAACUCUGAAAAAUUCUUGGCCAUUAUUUCUUAGUCUAUUAAAUAUUCUUUAAAUACUGCUGUCUUGCUGUUACUCUACUAUUUAAUUCUGAAACUUAAAAUGGAUAUAUGUUGGACUUUAUUUUGCAUUUUCUUAACUUCUCUUGCAUAUUUUUAAUUUGUCUUUCUGUUAUGUGUCCUGAGCAAUGUCUUUGGAUAUAAUUUCCAGUUUACAAAUUCUCUUUUGAGCUGUGUCUAAUUUGUUAUUUUUAAAAUUUUUUUCAGAGACAGGAUCUUGCUCUGUUGCCAAGGCUGUAGAACAGUGGUGCCAUCAUAGCACACUGCAACCUCUAAUUGGCAGAUUACGUUUUCAUAAAAUGUUUUUUAUCUUUGGCCAUUUAAAAAUUUGGGAGUUUAUCUCUCCUCUCCUUUCCUUCCUUCUCUUUCUUUCUUUUUCUUUCUUCCUCUUUCUUUCUUCUUUUCCUUCCUUCCUUCCUUCCUUCCUUCCUUCUUCCUCCUUCCUUCUUCCUUCUUUCCAUGAGAUCUUGCUAUGUUGGCUAGGCUUACCACCUAUUUACUUACUACCACUGCAUAAGUCACUUAUCUCUCUGUCCAUUUUUAUUGUCUGAAGCUUGAUGUCAACUAGAUUUCUCAGGAAAGACUCACAGCAGUAAUAGUCCCUGAGUUCUGGCAUGUUGAUAGCAGUUUGUCUUUUAUUAAUUAAAUAUAAAAUUCUUGUUUCAUAUAUUUUUUCCUUGAGUAUGUUAAUUAUUAUAUGUUAUUUUAAUAUUGUAUAUUGUAAUAGCAUAUAAUAACAUACAGUGUUUGUAUUAUUUAGUUGUAUAUAUUUGUAUUAUUGUAUGUUUGUAUUCCGUAUGUUUUGUAUAUAAAUAUUGUCCGUUAAAUAAGUAAUAUGUUAUUUCAUUUUCUUAUAACAUAAAGCAUUGCUGUCGACAAGCGUGAUGAUAAUUUAUUUUUUUCCUUAUACUUUACACACUUGUUUGGGAUAUCUUUUAUAGACUGAACUGCAUCCUCCCCAAAUUUAUAAGUUGAAACUCUAAUCCCUAGUGUGACUGUAUGUGAAGACAGAGCUUUUAAGGAGGUAAUUAAGGCCAUAAGAGGGGCUGGUAAUAUAAUACGAUUGGUGUCCUUAAAAGAAAAGGAAGAGACACCAGGAAUGCAGGUGCGCAGGAAAGGCCAUAUGAGGACAGGAUGAGACGGCCCUUUGCAGCCAAGGAGAGAGGCUGUAGAAGAAAUCAUCCCUGCCAACACCUUGAUCUUGGACUUCCAGCCUUCAGAACUCUUCUGCAGAUGGCCACCCCUCUCUGCAACUGGUUCCUUAUCGAGGCAAUGGAAAUGUGGACUGUGGUGAGUCUGAUCAAGCCUCACGUAUCUAUUGAAUCAGGAAGCCCGAAGGCCUGAGGCCUCCCGAGUGGCCCCAUGGGAGCGUCGUGCAUUUCUCUGAUAUGGAGUUGUUGGUCUUGAGAUACAGACCGUGCGGGAACAAAAGGCUUGCGGGUGGACUGUGGUGCCAGGAUGCUGCAGUGUCAGGGGAAGAGCUGUCGUUUUAGUGCCCACCUUCCUUUCCCUCCUCUGGCCAAAAAAUACUAAUAAUAAGAAAGAAACGGAAAGAAAAGAAACUUCUCAGAGAGGUUCCCAGUGGCUAAAAAAGACUCCUGGUUCUCCACCCCUGUGAGUUCACGACAUCUGCAAAACAAGACUGUUAAGCUACAGAAACAAUAUAAAGGGCCCGAUGACGAUGCUGGCCUGGCGGGGGACUUGGCUGACCCGGCCUCCACACAGGUGGACUAGUUCACAGAGCUUGGCCACUGGGGGGCUGCUGGCAGGCGAGACAAACAUCACUGGCUGGUCGGCAAAGAGGGUUCCGCGAUACGGCCCUGCAGACAAGUGGCACUCACUUCGGCACAGCUGUGGGGCAGACAGAGAGAGAAUUACGGAGGUGGGACCACUCCAGUCUCCAUAGCCAUAAUAAAUACCGAGCCUCAGCAGCUUUCAUGUGACUUGCAGGAGACAGUGGCAGCAGGGGCAAAUGAUUCUUCCUGGACGGUGACUUUAACAAAGACUUCUUCUGGGGACACCAACCUCCACCUGGCCAUGUGUUCAAGCCCAAGGAGAAGUCCCAGCAUUGGUCCGAGCUAAUCCCGGUGAUCGCAAUGCAAAUGACUGCACUAAGCAUGGCACAGCUGGCCUCAAUCCUGGCCAAUGUGACCUGGGAAUCAAUCGCUGGUGGGAUUCUGGGGGAGUUUUCUCACUAUUAUAAACAGAUGCAUAAGCAGAAAUACUUCUGUUUGCUGGUCACUGUCAUGUCUAAUGCGAUGCCUGGAUCACUGAAACCCCCAGAGGCCAUGGGACACGCUGAAAAUGGCCCAGUGGGAAGGCGGAAAGCCCUGGGUCCUGAAAAACACUUGUAAGUCACUGACAGACCAAACUGAAAUCAUCCUUUAUUUUGUCCUUUUUAUGUCAGAAAAAAAACCCCUAAAUUCUUUAAGUGACUUUUUUGUUAAGUUUUUGUUUCUAGAACCCCAAAGUAUCCUAAUAAUAAUAAUUUUAAAUAAUCCACCUAUUUUUGGAAAUAUCUUGUUCAUCACUGAGAUUAUGAAUAAUAGAUCAGUUCUCACCCCUGCCUCCCCCGCCAUUUACCAGAGUUAACAACUGUGAAGAAUUCUCUGUGUAUUUUUAAAAAUUCUGUAAAAUGCACACACAACACACACAUACACAUUUAUGAUAAUGGUUGUUCUUAACCAAAAAAUGAGAUCAAAUCUCUAUCUCACUAUAUGGAUAAGCAGUAACUAAACCUUUUUGUAAUGCAGUAAAAAAGGAGUCAACCUCUCGAAUGUUUAGGAUGGGACUUCAGUAGCUAGUUUCUUUGUGCCGUGACAUUGCCUUCAGAAUUCUGAUCUUGGCCAAUUUUCCUAUCCAGCAAAUAAAGCACAUUUCCCCAACACUGGUACAUUUUAAAAAGUUAGUUGUGAAUUACAAGCUGCAAACCUUAGCUGCAGCAGGUGGUGUUCUCACUGUGUCACCACUGGCUCUCGCCAGGGAGCCUACGUGUUACCUGGAGAUCAAGGUGAAAAGCCUCAAAGGCACAAAUUCUGAAGUCAACUUGCUGUUGAUUAUUUUCAUGGAUUUUUCAACACCCUUGGUAACCGCAAUUUACAGCAAUGUGCUCUAAACUCUAACUUCAGCUGGGCAAAGUGGCUAACACCUGUAAUCCCAGCACUUUGGGAGGCUGAGGUAGUUGGAUUGCUUAAGCCCAGGAAUUUGAGACCAGCCUGGGCAACAUAGGGAGACCCCGUCUAGAUAGAUAGAUAGAUAGAUAGAUAGAUAGAUAGAUAGAUAGAUAGAUAGAUAGAUAAUAGAUAGAUAGACAGACAGACAGAUAGAUAGAUAGAUAAGCAAGCCCGGUGUGGUGUCACAUGCCUAUAGUUCCCACUACUUGGGAGGCUGAGGUGGGAGGAUCACUUGAGCCCAGCAGGUUGAGGCUGCAGUGAACUGUGAUUGUGACCCUGCACUCCAGCCUGGGCGAGAGAGUGAGACCCUGUCUCAAAACAAUACAACUCCCCACCCCCAACAAAAACCAAUGAUUCUAAUUUCACUGCAAACCUUUACACACACAUACACACAUACACACACAGAUGCAUGCACACACCCCAGAAACAGGAGUGCGUGCAGGACAUGCGGAGGGGACAGGUGUAAGUUGGGGAACGAUGGCUGGGUGGCGUCGUGAUGUUUUAUUUUUGUUGUUACCUCAAUGAAAACCUCAGAGAUAACCAGGCUCAUCUAUUUAUAUAUUGACCCAGGACUUUCUAGCUAAAAAAAGUUAAAAGAUAAUUUUUUAACAACCAUAACUUUCGGGAAGCUGAGGCAGAAGAAUGGCGUGAACCCGGGAGGAGAAGCUUGCAGUGAGCCGAGAUCAUGUCACUGUACUCCAGCCUGGGCGAUAGAACGAGACUCCAUCUCAAAAAAAAAACAAAAAACAAAAAAAAAAAACACACAAACACCCCCCGCCCCCCACAAAAAAAAAACCCAUAACUUUCAUACAGGUAUAAAAUAAACACAGUGUAUUCAUUUUACUUAACUCAGAUGCUAUAACUGGUUCAAAGGACAAUCCGAAGAACACAUCUAUUGAUUAGGAAUACUGAAAUAAACUUGCUAAUGGACAAAAAAAGUUGGCUUCCCUGCAAGGUAAGAAGCACUCCCUCCACCAGACAGAAUUCAUUUCCUGCCCAUAGACAAGCGUGUUUGCACUGCCAGCAGCUAUUUACAACUUAUGAAGCUGUAAAACAGCUCCCAAGCAAUGAAGGCUGCAAGCAGAUAAGCUGGCAGGCCGUGAGCAGGCCUCAAAUGGAGUUUUUCAGUGAAGCACAAAUGUUCCCCUACAGAACCCAAGAUCUCUCUUUAAAAGAAAUCAUGAAAGAAGAGGGGAUUACGUGGAGCUUAUGGACUGCUCCAGGGUUAAGUCCUCCAAAAUAAACAACAGGACCGCUCAGUAGUCAGAGUGAAUUUUGGGUGGGGUUUGAAAGAGUUCCUGCUUUCCUCUGCUAAUGGUGACAUAAAAUGUUCAUUUCAUACCCAUGGAUAUACACUGAUGCGUACAUGUAAGUUGAGGAGGCAGUGGCAGAAGCCAGAAGCCUUUCUCUGCCAUGAGCUCCUCCUAGGAGCCCUGGGUUGCAGAGGGUGAGGACUGCUAGGAAAGUCUGUCAGUUAGGGCUGAAGGGACAUUAGCUUUGCUUUAAAACACAUUGGCUGUGCUUACGUUUGUGUCUUCAUCUGGUUUAAUGGGUUUGAGCUCACACUCUCCAAAUCUAUUUACCUCCAAGCCAGUUAAGGCAGACUGUGUUGUUGACAAAGCUAAGCAGAACAGAAUUUCCCCAUGGCUUCUAGCUUCAAGGAAUCCCAGCUAUUUAUCCAUCACCAAGAAAUGAAGCCCCAUGGGUGGGUGAUGGUUCAUUUACUCCAGCCCAGGGUGUUGGAUUUCAAUUAGUGCAUUUGCUUUUCCCUCUAGGUACAGCUCACCCUUUAAAGUUACUCCUUGGCUUUAAGAUGCACUUUCCCGUCUCAACAACAAUACAGGACGUGUCUUACAGGGCUGUAGUUCUCAUUCACAGCAUUCUUCCUCUGAGUGGUCCAGAAAACACUCGCGGGCCUUACAGUCAAGGCACCUUAGAUUUAAAGUAUGGAAUACGUGAAAACUUCCUAACUGGUAAAGCGCUCAGUAAUGCAAGCUCUGGGUGCAACUCAGUGGUUCUUAGCAUAGUCAGAGUUAUGCAAUCAUCAGCACAAUCUACUCACACCCUCCUCAAGGUAUUAAAUAAAUAUUUCAGAAUCCACAAUGCGGCCAAUCUCAUUAAUAACUUUAUUGAAUCCUGUAGCCCAGCACUCAGGGUCCUCUAAAACCCUGCCCUGCUUUCCCCUCCAAUCGCAGUGCCCACUGUCUCUUUUAAAUAGACUCUGUCCUCAUCAAGCCUGUUCUCUGUCCCCCAAAUAUGCCAUAUCAUUCCUCAAUGCAUGCAUUUUUUCCCCCAGUUCCCUACAGUCUUAUAAUUAGUGGUUACACUAAUCUAUAUGUGUGUUAAAACUCAUAGAAUUGUAUACAAAAAAGUCAACUGUACUGUGUACAUACAUUUAAAAGAUAAAAUAAAAUGUGUCCUUUUAAUGCUUA